ACGGGAGGCAGCAGUGGGGAAUAUUGCACAAUGGGGGAAACCCUGAUGCAGCGACGCCGCGUGGGUGAAGAAGUAUUUCGGUACGUAAAGCCCUAUCAGCAGGGAAGAUAAUGACGGUACCUGACUAAGAAGCUCCGGCUAAAUACGUGCCAGCAGCCGCGGUAAUACGUAUGGAGCAAGCGUUAUCCGGAUUUACUGGGUGUAAAGGGUGCGUAGGUGGCAUGGUAAGUCAGAUGUGAAAUACCGGGGCUCAACCCCGGAGCUGCAUUUGAAACUGCCAGGCUGGAGUACAGGAGAGGCAAGCGGAAUUCCUAGUGUAGCGGUGAAAUGCGUAGAUAUUAGGAGGAACACCAGUGGCGAAGGCGGCCUGCUGGACUGUUACUGACACUGAGGCACGAAAGCGUGGGGAGCAAACAGGAUUAGAUACCCUGGUA
rnacentral:rRNA from 1 species